UACGGGGGGGGCAAGCGUUGUUCGGAAUUACUGGGCGUAAAGGGCUCGUAGGUGGCCAACUAAGUCAGACGUGAAAUCCCUCGGCUUAACCGGGGAACUGCGUCUGAUACUGGAUGGCUUGAGUUCGGGAGAGGUGAGUGGAACUGCGAGUGUAGAGGUGAAAUUCGUAGAUAUUCGCAAGAACACCAGUGGCGAAGGCGGCUCACUGGCCCGAUACUGACGCUGAGGCACGAAAGCGUGGGGAGCAAACAGG
rnacentral:rRNA from 1 species